rnacentral:rRNA from 1 species
GGGCUAGCGUUGCUCGGAAUCACUGGGCGUAAAGCGCACGUAGGCGGAUUGUUAAGUCAGGGGUGAAAUCCUGGAGCUCAACUCCAGAACUGCCUUUGAUACUGGCGAUCUCGAGUCCGGGAGAGGUGAGUGGAACUGCGAGUGUAGAGGUGAAAUUCGUAGAUAUUCGCAAGAACACCAGUGGCGAAGGCGGCUCACUGGCCCGGUACUGACGCUGAGGUGCGAAAGCGUGGGGAGCAAACAGG